UCAAAAGAUGGCAUGACAAACAUGUAUAGAAAAUUUCACAUAUUCAUGUUAAAGUUAUUUCCUUAGCUAAAAAGUUUCCUUGAUUUGGUCUUAAACGAUAUGCGAAGACGCCCCUUUAGAAAUAAGAAUAAUACUUAAUUAGACUUAAGAAGUCAAGAAAAUUUAUACUUGAAUGCAUCCUAUGUGCGUGGUCAUUUUAUCUUUCAUUCCUUAUUUUCUAAAGUCCUUGAGCAUUAAUUAAAUCAGGAGAUUUAAUUUAUGGUGAAGGUUUAGGAAAUUAUUCGUUUAACAAACAGAGCAUUGCCUCUUAUGCAAAAAUUCAAGCAUUAAACUACAUCCGAGGUUUAUUUUCACCGUUGCGGAAAUAAAAUCGGGCCAUUACUUAACAUCAUUUAUUUGAACAAUGUAGGAGAUUCCAUGACUUAAUUAGGCACAGUAGGCCCACCUUGCAAGGAACUAAUCCAUUCCUCUCUUAAAUCAAAAUUUAGCCCAAAGUGUUUUCCAACAACCUGCCCGAUUAGUAAAUCAAUUCAUUUUCCCUCAUUAAUUCCUACAGGCCCAAGCACUAAAUAAAAGAAAGAAAUGGCGAAGGCCCAAAACAAUUAAUUAAGUAGUCCAAUAAAAAUGACCCAAAAUAUACUCCUUCAUCCAUCUGCCUCUCUCUCUUCCCUAACACUUUAACCCCCAAAUUGAUAUUCAUCAAAUUGAUUGGGAAUCGGAGACGCAACGGCGCCCCUUCUCAUUCCACUCUGGCGAAUUCGCCGUCCAUCGCCCCCUCUUCUCCGGCGAGCUCGUCAAAGAUAACCUCUGUACUCCGAGGCUUCCGACGCCCUUGGCUACCGCGCCGGUUCUCCCUCUCUGGCGGACUCACGGCGGAGCUCCCAUAUUCUCCAGCGGAGUCGCCGUUAGGGGAGGAGGCGUCGCCUCGCUUCCGCGGAGUCACUCCAGCCGUUACCAGCGGCUGCAUGUAUUCUCUCCGGCGACACUCAGUUUCUUCGCCGCUGCUGCCGGCCGCUCUUCACGGUGACGGGGUCGCCGCCGCCGAGUUCUACCGCGCUCCAGCUACUCACUGCCUCGCCAGCUGCUGCUUCGCCGUCUCCGUCGGCUCUCCGGGUCCGUCGUCACCCGAUCCUCGCCGGGCAGCCGCUCCCUCCUAAGCUAAGUCACCCUUCCCUUUUCCCUUUAACUUGCUUUCUUGUGGUGUUAUUCAAUAAGUUCUAUGGUUAUUUGUAAAUUGCAACAAAACUCGUUGGGAAGGGUCCUGCUUCUUUGGGACUCCACUGUUAUUGUCAUAUUUGAUCUCUUUCCUAGCUGAGGUUGUUACUGAUGUGAGGCUCUCCUUUAAGUUGUAUGAGUUUGGGCUUACUGAUCUGAAUUUUGGCCAAGUAUGGAUGCUAUCUAUUGAAGUUCACUUUACAUGUUUGCUACUGCUGUGAAAUUCCUACAGCCAUGUAUCUAAGUUCUUGGGCAAAGUGGUUGUUGUUCUACAUGAGAUCUAUCAUGAUGCAAGGUAUGGGGUUGUGGUGUUACCUCUUCUGACAGUGAAGAAAUGGGGCUGCCCUAGUUGUUACUCACAGUUAUGCUCCACUCUCUAACUCUCUAUGUUGCCGAAAUUUCGAAGUGUGUGGGAGGGAGUUCAAAGGUGGUGUGGAGGGGGUUUUUAUAGGCAAAGUGUGUACUCGUGAGACAUUAAUUGGAGCUGUUGUAUUGUUUUGUUCUCUUCCUGUAGCAAAUCUCCCUUUUCUUUGAUUUUGCAGCAACUUUAACUGUAAUUUGGUGGUAUUUGUAGUGGUAGGCACUUGACUAAUAAAUUCAUCUUGUUCCCAUAUGCCUACUUAGUCCUUUAGUUAAUAACUCCCUUUGUUUGCUUGUUGCAGGUGGCACAUAGAGAGGAGGCAAGGCUGUUGGGAGUAGGAGCUGCUGCAGGCAGCCUUGGCUUACCCUCUUGUGUGGGACAAGGAUUUGGUUGUCAGCUGCUAGCCGCGACCUGGGCUUGCUGCCCCGGGCCCGUCGGGCUGAUCGGAAAAGGGCCGCAGGGGAAUGCGGUUUGGGCUCGAGAGAAGGAGGCUCAAAGUAGCUAAUAGAAGCUUUUUAGUUUCUUGGCUCAUCCUUGAACAUUUUUUGUAAUAGUAGUGUUCCACUUAGAUAAAUUGUAUUAUUCGAGAUGUAUACGAACAUUUUUGUUCGGGGUGGACAACUUCAUAUCCUUGUACAAAGUUCAUAUAUCUCAUAACAUACCUUAGCUUA